rnacentral:misc_RNA from 1 species
GUAGGUGAACCUGCGGAAGGAUCAUUAUUGAAAUAAACCUGAUGGGUUGUUGCUGGUUCUCUAGGGAGCAUGUGCACACCUUGUCAUCUUUAUAUCUCCACCUGUGCACUUUUUGUAGACCUUUCAGGUCUAUGUUGCUUCAUUUACCCCAAUGUAUGUUAAAUAGAAUGUUGUGCCUAUAAUAAUAUAUACAACUUUCAGCAACGGAUCUCUUGGCUCUC